rnacentral:rRNA from 1 species
CAGUAGCCGCGGUAAUACGAAGGGUGCAAGCGUUAAUCGGAAUUACUGGGCGUAAAGCGCGCGUAGGUGGUUCAUUAAGUCAGGGGUGAAAUCCCGCAGCUCAACUGCGGAACUGCCUUUGAUACUGGGUAUCUUGAGUAUGGAAGAGGUUAGUGGAAUUGCGAGUGUAGAGGUGAAAUUCGUAGAUAUUCGCAGGAACACCAGUGGCGAAGGCGGCUAACUGGUCCAUAACUGACGCUGAGGUGCGAAAGCGUGGGGAGCAAACAGGAUUAGAUACCCCAGUAGUCCCUGUCUCUUAUAC